rnacentral:rRNA from 1 species
UACGUAGGUCCCGAGCGUUGUCCGGAUUUAUUGGGCGUAAAGCGAGCGCAGGUGGUUUAUUAAGUCUGGUGUAAAAGGCAGUGGCUCAACCAUUGUAUGCGUUGGAAACUGGUAGACUUGAGUGCAGGAGAGAAGAGUGGAAUUCCAUGUGUAGCGGUGAAAUGCGUAGAUAUAUGGAGGAACACCGGUGGCGAAAGCGGCUCUCUGGCCUGUAACUGACACUGAGGCUCGAAAGCGUGGGGAGCAAACAGG